GACGACGCUCCAGACAGCUCGACGCGUCGGGUGUAUAACGUCGUACCUCUUGCACCUACUCGUUAAAGAGUCGCGAAGAGGGAAGUUAGGCGAGGGAGAAGGGUGAGCGAGGACGGAGGUGAAAGUGACGUGGAACAAAAGGGGGACGCAAGGAAGUCGCUUUUUCAAGACUUACGCAAGCGUGGCGUCAUCGGGGAGCCCAAAGAGUGAUUGACCUGCAAAAAUUAGUGACAGAUUGAUGGAAAUUGAUGAUGAAGGUAGAUUGGAAUUAAUGGCCCACCCG
rnacentral:misc_RNA from 1 species